rnacentral:rRNA from 1 species
AGGGAAUAUUAGAAAUGGACGAAAGUCUGAUCUAGCAACACCGCGUGUGCGAUGAAGGCCUUCGGGUUGUAAAGCACUUUUUGGAAGGAUUAGGAAGGAAUGUACUUCCAGAAUAAGUCUCGGCUAACUACGUGCCAGCAGCCGCGGUAACACGUAGGAGGCGAACGUUAUCCGGAUUUACUGGGCGUAAAGCGUGUGUAGGUGGUUCUGUAAGUAGGGCGUGAAAGCUCCUGGCUCAACUGGGAGAGGCCGUUCUAAACUGCAGAGCUAGAGGAUGGUAGAGGGAGGUGGAAUUCCGGGUGUAGCGGUGGAAUGCGCAGAUAUCCGGAGGAACACCAGUGGCGAAGGCGGCCUCCUGGACCAUUCCUGACACUCAGACGCGAAAGCUAGGGUAGCAAACGG